GACGAACGCUGGCGGCGUGCUUAACACAUGCAAGUCGAACGGAAAGGCCUGCUUUCCCUUGUGGAUUGCGGGUGCUCGAGUGGCGAACGGGUGAGUAACACGUGAGUGAUCUGCCCCCAACUUGGGUGUAAGCCUGGGAAACUGGGUCUAAUUCCCGAUAGGACUGCAGGGUGGUGCCUGUGGUGGAAAACGAUUUUCUCGUGGUUGGGGAUGAGCUCGCGGCCUAUCAGCUUGUUGGUGGGGUAAUGACCUACCAAGGCGGCGACUGGUAGCCGGCCUGGGAGGGUGGACGGCCACAUUGGGACUGAGAUCCGGCCCAGACUCCUACGGGAGGCAGGAGUGGGGAAUACUGGACAAUGGGCGGAAGCCUGAUGCAGCGACGCCGCGUGGGGGAUGACGGCCUUCGGGUUGUAAACUCCUUUCGACCGCGAGGAAGCCACCUGGUUGGACGGGUGGUGACGGUAGUGGUAGAAGAAGCACCGGCUAACUACGUG
rnacentral:rRNA from 1 species